rnacentral:tRNA from 1 species
GUUUUAAUAGUUUAGAAUAAACAUUAAUUUUGUAAAUUGAAAUCGGUUAAUCCUUAAAACA